rnacentral:rRNA from 1 species
CCCGCAAGGUUAAAACUCAAAUGAAUUGACGGGGACCCGCACAAGUAGUGGAGCAUGUGGUUUAAUUCGAAGAUACGCGCAGAACCUUACCAACACUUGACAUGUUCGUCGCGACUCUAAGAGAUUAGAGUUUUCGGUUCGGCCGGACGAAACACAGGUGCUGCAUGGCUGUCGUCAGCUCGUGUCGUGAGAUGUUGGGUUAAGUCCCGCAACGAGCGCAACCCUCACUUUUCGUUGCCAUCAUUAAGUUGGGCACUCUGAAAGAACUGCCAGUGAUAAGCUGGAGGAAGGUGGGGAUGACGUCAAGUCCUCAUGGCCCUUACGUGUUGGGCUACACACGUGCUACAAUGGUAUCUACAACAGGAAGCAAGACUGCGAAGUUAAGCAAAUCCCUAAAAGAUACCUCAGUUCGGAUUGCACUCUGCAACUCGAGUGCAUGAAGCUGGAAUUACUAGUAAUCGUGGAUCAGCGUGCCACGGUGAAUGCGUUCCCGGGUCUUGUACACACCGCCCGUCACACCAUGGGAGUUGGUUCUACCUUAAGGCAAGGUUUCAAACCCUUGACCACGGUAUAGUCAGCGACUGGGGUGAAGUCGUAACAAGGUAGC